UACGUAGGGUGCAAGCGUUAAUCGGAAUUACUGGGCGUAAAGCGUGCGCAGGCGGUUUGUUAAGUCAGCUGUGAAAUCCCCGGGCUCAACCUGGGAAUGGCAGUUGAGACUGACAGGCUGGAGUGUGUCAGAGGGGGGUGGAAUUCCACGUGUAGCAGUGAAAUGCGUAGAGAUGUGGAGGAAUACCGAUGGCGAAGGCAGCCCCCUGGGAUAACACUGACGCUCAUGCACGAAAGCGUGGGGAGCAAACAGG
rnacentral:rRNA from 1 species